GAGACGGUAGCUCAGUCGGUAGAGCAAGUGCCUUUUAAGCACUGGGUCGCGGGUUCGAUUCCCGCCCGUCUCA
rnacentral:tRNA from 1 species